rnacentral:rRNA from 1 species
UACAGAGGGUGCGAGCGUUAAUCGGAAUUACUGGGCGUAAAGCGUGCGUAGGUGGUGCGUUAAGUCUGUCGUGAAAGCCCCGGGCUCAACCUGGGAAUGGCGAUGGAUACUGGCGCGCUAGAGUGCGGUAGAGGAGAGUGGAAUUCCCGGUGUAGCAGUGAAAUGCGUAGAGAUCGGGAGGAACAUCAGUUGCGAAGGCGGCUCUCUGGACCAGCACUGACACUGAGGCACGAAAGCGUGGGGAGCAAACAGG